rnacentral:rRNA from 1 species
UGCCGCGUGAGUGAUGAAGGCCUUAGGGUUGUAAAACUCUUUUAGUGGGGAAAAUAAUGAUGGUACCCACAGAAAAAGCCACGGCAAACUUCGUGCCAGCAGCCGCGGUAAUACGAAGGUGGCUAGCGUUACUCGGAAUUACUGGGCGUAAAGCGGGUGUAGGUGGAUAUACAAGUCAGGGGUGAAAGCCCAGAGCUUAACUCUGGAACUGCCUUUGAAACUGUAUAUCUUGAGGUCGGUAGGGGAUAGUGGAAUUCUCAGUGUAGAGGUGAAAUUCGUAGAUAUUGAGAGGAACACCAGUGGCGAAGGCGACUGUCUGGACCGAUUCUGACACUCAGACCCGAAAGCGUGGGGAGCAAACAGGAUUAGAUACCCUGGUAGUCCACGCCGUAAACGAUGGAUGCUAGUUGUUAGGAUUAUAUCCUAGUGACACAGUUAACACGUUAAGCAUCCCGCCUGGGAAGUACGGUCGCAAGAUUAAAACUCAAAGGAAUUGACGGGGACCCGCACAAGCGGUGGAGUAUGUGGUUUAAUUCGAUGCUACGCGAAAAACCUUACCACCUUUUGACAUCCCUAUUUCGAGCUGUGUUAUAGCAGCUUUUCGGUUCGGCCGGAUA